GUCUGUUUCAGAGGCCAGAGCGACAAGAGAACUGACCAAUAGAAGUGGGACAUGGCCAAGGAGGCGGGAUAACGGCACAUCGAUCACCCUGGGCCAAUUAUGUUCUCCAGUCACGGAUAUUGACAGUGGGAUCAACUGGACUUUGAGUGAGCUGGGAAGCCCCCAUUCCCCAGUUGGGACUCUGAAUUACUGAGACUGUGCAAGGAGAAAGCUGGAACCAUGCCCCAAGCUGAAGGAAAAACUGCCAGGGAAGCACGCUUCCCUCCUGCCUGGACCAGCCAAUAUGCCACAAUAAUGCUCUGGAGGAGAACUGAAUCUCCGUGGCUCUGUCCGUCCUUAGCUCCUCUCCCACGAUUGUUGACAAGACUGCCCAUUCGAGUCAGCCAUGGUCUUGUUUUUGAUGAUGCAGGCACCUGUUCACUGUGAACUGGACUGAGACCAAACUCGUUUCACACAGGGUCAUGAGCUGCUGGACAGUAACCAGAGUUGGUCACGUCACACCUGACCUGAGCCAGGCUUUGCAGAAGAAGCACCUGUUCCCAUCUCAGUUUUACUAUUUACAAUUCUGGGCUAUAAUCAAAGUGUAGUGAUAACCCCAGUGUCCAUCUGGCCUGCAU